AGGAACACCAGUGGCGAAGGCGACUCUCUGGUCUGUAACUGACGCUGAGGAGCGAAAGCGUGGGGAGCGAACAGGAUUAGAUACCCUGGUAGUCCACGCCGUAAACGAUGAGUGCUAAGUGUUAGGGGGUUUCCGCCCCUUAGUGCUGCAGCUAACGCAUUAAGCACUCCGCCUGGGGAGUACGGUCGCAAGACUGAAACUCAAAGGAAUUGACGGGGGCCCGCACAAGCGGUGGAGCAUGUGGUUUAAUUCGAAGCAACGCGAAGAACCUUACCAGGUCUUGACAUCCUCUGACAAUCCUAGAGAUAGGACGUCCCCUUCGGGGGCAGAGUGACAGGUGGUGCAUGGUUGUCGUCAGCUCGUGUCGUGAGAUGUUGGGUUAAGUCCCGCAACGAGCGCAACCCUUGAUCUUAGUUGCCAGCAUUCAGUUGGGCACUCUAAGGUGACUGCCGGUGACAAACCGGAGGAAGGUGGGGAUGACGUCAAAUCAUCAUGCCCCUUAUGACC
rnacentral:rRNA from 1 species